GAUGAAGAACGCAGUGAAAUGCGAUAAGUAAUGUGAAUUGCAGAAUUCAGUGAAUCAUCGAAUCUUUGAACGCAACUUGCGCCCUCUGGUAUUCCGGAGGGCAUGCCUGUUUGAGUGUCAUGUAGACUCAAUCCCUCGGGUUUCUGAGGAGGUUGGAUUUGGGUGCUUGCCUUCUGGCUCGCCUUAAAGGACUUAGCAGGAUAGCACUGUAGUCGACGUAAUAAGUCUCGUCGGUGAAAGUGUGAUGUCUGCUUACAGAUUGCCCUUGGGCACUUUUGACUCUGACCUCAAAUCAGGUAGGACUACCCGCUGAACUUAAGCAUAUAAUAAGCGGAGGA
rnacentral:misc_RNA from 1 species